rnacentral:rRNA from 1 species
AUACGUAGGUGGCAAGCGUUGUCCGGAAUUAUUGGGCGUAAAGCGCGCGCAGGCGGCUUCUUAAGUCUGAUGUGAAAGCCCACGGCUCAACCGUGGAGGGUCAUUGGAAACUGGGAGGCUUGAGUGCAGAAGAGAAGAGCGGAAUUCCACGUGUAGCGGUGAAAUGCGUAGAGAUGUGGAGGAACACCAGUGGCGAAGGCGGCUCUUUGGUCUGUAACUGACGCUGAGGCGCGAAAGCGUGGGGAGCGAACAGGAUUAGAUACCCUGGUAGUCCACGCCGUAAACGAUGAGUGCUAAGUGUUAGGGGGUUUCCGCCCCUUAGUGCUGCAGCAAACGCAUUAAGCACUCCGCCUGGGGAGUACGGCCGCAAGGCUGAA